rnacentral:lncRNA from 1 species
UUCAAACACUUGAAAAGCCAGCUAUGGGGUCAUAGAUGAAGACAUUCAUCCUAAAGGCCUAUAGGGAAACGACAUCCUUGCAGCAGUUUCGGGAGGGAGAUAAACAACAUCAGGACCCUCUCCUGUGGAGGGAAUGCAGGCCACACAUACAACGUGGAUGGAAGACGAAAUGGUCUUACAGAUUGGGAGACAGAAGGAGAGGCA